GCUCAGGAUGAACGCUGGCGGCGUGCUUAACACAUGCAAGUCGAACGAUGAACCCGGAGCUUGCUCUGGGGGAUUAGUGGCGAACGGGUGAGUAACACGUGAGCAACCUGCCCCUGACUCUGGGAUAAGCGCUGGAAACGGCGUCUAAUACUGGAUAUGUCCCAUCACCGCAUGGUGUGUGGGUGGAAAGAUUUAUCGGUUGGGGAUGGGCUCGCGGCCUAUCAGCUUGUUGGUGAGGUAAUGGCUCACCAAGGCGUCGACGGGUAGCCGGCCUGAGAGGGUGACCGGCCACACUGGGACUGAGACACGGCCCAGACUCCUACGGGAGGCAGCAGUGGGG
rnacentral:rRNA from 1 species